rnacentral:rRNA from 1 species
UACCAGCACCUCAAGUGGUCAGGAUGAUUAUUGGGCCUAAAGCAUCCGUAGCCGGCUCUGUAAGUUUUCGGUUAAAUCUGUACGCUUAACGUACAGGCUGCCGGGAAUACUGCAGAGCUAGGUAGUGGGAGAGGUAGACGGUACUCGGUAGGAAGGGGUAAAAUCCUUUGAUCUAUUGAUGACCACCUGUGGCGAAGGCGGUCUACCAGAACACGUACGACGGUGAGGGAUGAAAGCUGGGGGAGCAAACCGGAUUAGAUACCCGGGUAGUCCCAGCUGUAAACUAUGCAAACUCAGUGAUGCAUUGGCUUGUGGCCAAUGCAGUGCUGCAGGGAAGCCGUUAAGUUUGCCGCCUGGGAAGUACGUACGCAAGUAUGAAACUUAAAGGAAUUGGCGGGGGAGCACCACAAGGGGUGAAGCCUGCGGUUCAAUUGGAGUCAACGCCAGAAAUCUUACCCGGAGAGACAGCAGAAUGAAGGUCAAGCUGAAGACUUUACCAGACAAGCUGAGAGGUGGUGCAUGGCCGUCGCCAGCUCGUGCCGUGAGAUGUCCUGUUAAGUCAGGUAACGAGCGAGAUCCCUGCCUCUAGUUGCCACCAUUACUCUCAGGAGUAGUGGGGCGAAUUAGCGGGACCGCCGCAGUUAAUGCGGAGGAAGGAAGGGGCCACGGCAGGUCAGUAUGCCCCGAAACUCUGGGGCCACACGCGGGCUGCAAUGGUAACGACAAUGGGUUUCGAAUUCGAAAGGAUGAGGUAAUCCUCAAACGUUACCACAGUUAUGACUGAGGGCUGCAACUCGCCCUCACGAAUAUGGAAUCCCUAGUAACUGCGUGUCACUAUCGCGCGGUGAAUACGUCCCUGCUCCU